ACAGAGGGUGCAAGCGUUAAUCGGAGUUACUGGGCGUAAAGGGCGCGUAGGCUGGUAUUUAAGUCAAUUGUGAAAUCCCUGGGCUUAACCUAGGAAUUGCAGUCGAUACUGAAUAUCUUGAGUAUGGUAGAGGAAAGUGGAAUUCUCGGUGUAGUGGUUAAAGACGUAGAUAUCGAGAAGAACACCGGUGGCGAAGGCGACAAACUGGAACAAAACUGACGCUGAGGAGCGAAAGCGAGGGGAGAAAAAAG
rnacentral:rRNA from 1 species